rnacentral:rRNA from 1 species
UAACACGUGGGUAACCUGCCCCGAUUACCGGGACAACUCGAGGAAACUCGAGCUAAUACCGGAUGUGCCCUCCCCACAUCAGUGGGGUGUGUAAAGGAAGCUUCGGCCUCCGAAUCGGGAUGGGCCCGCGGCCCAUUAGCUAGUUGGUGAGGUAACGGCUCACCAAGGCAUCGAUGGGUAGCUGGUCUGAGAGGACGAUCAGCCACACUGGGACUGAGACACGGCCCAG